UCAAAACAGCGGACUUCGGUCUUUGCUGCACCCUUGUCUUUUGCGCACCGAAUUGUUUCCUCGGCGGGCUUGCUGCCGGUUGGACAUUAUCAAAACCUUUUUGUAGUUGCAAUCAGCGUCAGAAAAAUCAUAAUUAUUA
rnacentral:misc_RNA from 1 species